rnacentral:rRNA from 1 species
UUCCUUUCACGCAUUGCUAGUGCGUCGCUCGGACAUGACCACAUGAUAAGGGGUCGCAGAGGAGGUGGCCCGAGUGACGGUACCGGUGGCGCGCGCGUCGAGUGCGCAAUUGUCGCGAGUGGACGCGCGAAUCGAGGAAUCGGUAGGAGCGGCGGUAGGUGGACCAGGAAACGUCGACGCACAGGGCUGGUCGAUGCGUCACCAGCUGACGCGGUGCGGCGGCUGAAGGAGCCUGCUGUCGCGACGACGGAAGGCGCUGUCGGAGGACGGUGAGGACCGGCGCGAUGGGCGUCGGCGGCGCGGCUGCCCCAAGCGCUGGGAAGUCAGGCCGCCGCCCCGUAAGCGGGCGCCGAAGACGGACCCGCGGAGGCGCGGCUCUCUCACGGAGCGCACGGAGCGGCGCCGGCGGUUCUUGGAGUGGCCGACGCCGCGGUCGUCCGCGCGGCCGCACACCUCCCGGCUCCCGACGAAGGACAGGAUGCGGCUGCUGUUAUGGAGGAGACGCAUGCUCCUUAGAAAGGAGGUCCAGCAGAUGAGGCCGCUCCUUCAGAAUGGGGGGCUGUAGAGGACACUCCUGUCAAGGCUGGGGCCGACGAAGCUCGGCGCCUCCGAGCAGCGCGAGCGCCUCAGGGACCGCGCCGCGCCGCGUCGGUUGUCGAGCCCGCGCGCGCAGCAGCGGCUGCGCCGGCGCGAGAGCUAGUUGCGGUGACACUUCUGGCGCCACUGCAACGCCCGCGUCACGCGCUCCCUGGCGCGCCGCCGCCUCACGCGGGCCACGGACCCCAUGAACCGCGCUCACAACCUCCGCACGUGGACCACCGAACUGCCGCUCAUACGAAUACACCGGCGGCUGCACCAGCCGAUGUUGACGAAGGACGCCUAGCUCCGAAGUCAAGGAUUCCCAGCCGCGGACCGCUUUAUAUACUUCCUAAGACAGUUCUAUUGGAACACGCAGUGGUGUGACGAGCGUGACCAAAAAUGGCGAGAGUGGCGCCGUUAGCGCACGCAGCUACACUCUUUCUUGGCGGGUCACCGCCGCCCUUACAUCGUCGUCGUCCACCUCUAAUCUGUUCGAUCCUCGUAGGAAGGCCUAGGCAACGACAACACGGUGAGUAGAGGGGUGACGGAACAAGGAGGGGUUGGACUACAGAAGGGUUUCGGCUUAACUAGUAGGUAAAGCUGCACUUACGUCGUUUAUUGCUAGGGCAAAAGUACAUGGUAGUUUCAUAAAACUUACAUGGCAUCGAACCAUAAUUAAAUCUCAAAUUUAUACUACAUGAUGGUCAUAAUGAAACCUACUUGAUGAUCAAUAAGGACUUACACGGUACUUGCGUGAAUGAUUAAAGACUUAAACAUUAUAAUACAAGAGCCACUAAAGGCACUAAAUAAAAUAAAAUGUACCAGAAACAGU